GUUUUAAUAGUUUAUAUAAAACAUCGGUCUUGUAAACCGAAAAAAAAAAUCUUUUUUUAAAACU
rnacentral:tRNA from 1 species